AUACGGAGGGUGCAAGCGUUAUCCGGAUUUAUUGGGUUUAAAGGGUGCGCAGGCGGACCUGUCAGUCAGUGGUGAAAUCCCGGGGCUCAACCCCGGAACUGCCAUUGAUACUACAGGUCUUGAAUACGGUUGAAGUAGGCGGAAUGUAGCAUGUAGCGGUGAAAUGCAUAGAUAUGCUACAGAACACCGAUCGCGAAGGCAGCUUACUAAGCCGAUAUUGACGCUCAGGCACGAAAGCGUGGGUAGCGAACAGGAUUAGAAACCCCGGUAGUCC
rnacentral:rRNA from 1 species